rnacentral:rRNA from 1 species
GGAGGAAAGUAGGGGAUCGCAAGACCUUGCGCUUUUGGAGCGGCCGAUGUCUGAUUAGCUAGUUGGUGAGGUAAAGGCUUACCAAGGCGUCGAUCAGUAGCUGGUCUGAGAGGACGACCAGCCACACUGGGACUGAGACACGGCCCAGACUCCUACGGGAGGCAGCAGUGGGGAAUUUUGGACAAUGGGGGAAACCCUGAUCCAGCCAUGCCGCGUGAGUGAAGAAGGCCUUCGGGUUGUAAAGCUCUUUCAGCCGGAACGAAACGGUCACGGUUAAUACCCGUGGCUACUGACGGUACCGGAAGAAGAAGCACCGGCUAACUACGUGCCAGCAGCCGCGGUAAUACGUAGGGUGCGAGCGUUAAUCGGAAUUACUGGGCGUAAAGCGUGCGCAGGCGGUUUUGUAAGUCAGAUGUGAAAUCCCCGGGCUUAACCUGGGAACUGCGUUUGAAACUACAAGGCUAG